CAAAACUAUUAAUAACUAUUAAUAUAUGUUUCCUACAUAUUUAUUAUUUAUAAUUUUCAAAAAAAAAGAGUACAAUUUCAUGUACUUAAAACUAUUGUUAAGGACAAUUAACCUAUCAAUAAAGAGUAUGUCUGGUCACCAUAGCCAUGUGAUUGUUUAUGAAAAAAAAUCUUGUUAGCAAUAUAAUUUUUUGUUCAUUAUUAAUUUAUUUGAAUCUAAAGUAUAUUUACUAUUAUGCUCACAUAAGAUAAUGUGUAAUGCAAAUAUGGU